rnacentral:rRNA from 1 species
UACGAAGGGGGCUAGCGUUGCUCGGAAUCACUGGGCGUAAAGCGCACGUAGGCGGAUUGCUAAGUCAGGGGUGAAAUCCUGGAGCUCAACUCCAGAACUGCCUUUGAUACUGAGGAUCUUGAGUUCGGGAGAGGUGAGUGGAACUGCGAGUGUAGAGGUGAAAUUCGUAGAUAUUCGCAAGAACACCAGUGGCGAAGGCGGCUCACUGGCCCGAUACUGACGCUGAGGCACGAAAGCGUGGGGAGCAAACGGG